GGUCUGGUGGUCUAGUGGUAUGAUUCGCGCUUAGGGAACACCCUGAAGCUUCAAUGCGCGAGGUCCCGGGUUCAAUCCCCGGCCAGACCC